AAACUGAAGAGUUUGAUCAUGGCUCAGAUUGAACGCUGGCGGCAGGCUUAACACAUGCAAGUCGAGCGGAAACGAUGGGAGCUUGCUCCCAGGCGUCGAGCGGCGGACGGGUGAGUAAUGCUUAGGAAUCUGCCCAGUAGUGGGGGAUAGCCCGGGGAAACCCGGAUUAAUACCGCAUACGCCCUUUUGGGGAAAGCAGGGGAUCUUCGGACCUUGCGCUAUUGGAUGAGCCUAAGUCGGAUUAGCUAGUUGGUGAGGUAAUGGCCCACCAAGGCGACGAUCCGUAGCUGGUCUGAGAGGAUGAUCAGCCACAUCGGGACUGAGACACG
rnacentral:rRNA from 1 species